CUUACUCACAAUCAUUUAAUUAUACUUUGACGACCGGUUUCGAUCUCUACAAUAUACAGAUCAUCUUCAGGUCGGCGUUACAAGUAGUUAAAUGAUGCCGUUACAAGGAUUGCGUUGCAACUUAGUUGUUGUCAUAUUAGUACGUCCCAAUUAUGCUAAUUGGUUUGUUGGGAUAGUGAUAGGGUAAACAGACAUGUUACGUAGGUUAAAACACAGUAAGAUUUCGAAUUUGGAAUGGAUCCUGAAGGAAGAUGCGUAUGUGAAACGGGUGAUGUUUUGUUCGAAUGGAGAAAGACAAUGCUCCAGGAGUUGCGUAUUAAUUGUAGCAAAGUAUGAAAUGUUAUUCUAGGCUCUUGUACAAAUGUGAUGGUCUUAGCUCGUAGAUGUUAUACGAUGCGGG
rnacentral:lncRNA from 1 species